rnacentral:rRNA from 1 species
UUGAACGCUGGCGGCAGGCCUAACACAUGCAAGUCGAAUGGUAACAGGAAACAGCUUGCUGUUUCGCUGACGAGUGGCGGACGGGUGAGUAAUGUCUGGGAAACUGCCUGAUGGAGGGGGAUAACUACUGGAAACGGUAGCUAAUACCGCAUAACGUCGCAAGACCAAAGAGGGGGACCUUCGGGCCUCUUGCCAUCAGAUGUGCCCAGAUGGGAUUAGCUAGUAGGUGGGGUAACGGCUCACCUAGGCGACGAUCCCUAGCUGGUCUGAGAGGAUGACCAGCCACACUGGAACUGAGACACGGUCCAGACUCCUACGGGAGGCAGCAGUGGGGAAUAUUGCACAAUGGGCGCAAGCCUGAUGCAGCCAUGCCGCGUGUAUGAAGAAGGCCUUCGGGUUGUAAAGUACUUUCAGCGGGGAGGAAGGGAGUAAAGUUAAUACCUUUGCUCAUUGACGUUACCCGCAGAAGAAGCACCGGCUAACUCCG